rnacentral:tRNA from 1 species
CAAAUUAAAGCUUAGAAAGUAUUUCAUUUACAUUGAAAAGAUAUUAAAAUAAAUUUAAUUAAUUUGA